CCAACUUUAGCUCAGUUGGUAGAGCGGAAGACUGUAGAUCUUUAGGUCACUGGUUCCAAUCCCGUAGGUUGGA